GGAGGGGUGCCAGAGUGGACGAUUGGGGCGGUCUCGAAAACCGUUGUGGCCGUCAGGUCACCGUGGGUUCGAAUCCCACCCCCUCCGCCA
rnacentral:tRNA from 1 species